rnacentral:misc_RNA from 1 species
GAAAUGCGAUAAGUAAUGUGAAUUGCAGAAUUCAGUGAAUCAGCGAAUCUUUGAACGCACAUUGCGCCCGCCAGUAUUCUGGCGGGCAUGCCUGUUCGAGCGUCAUUUCAACCAUCAAGCCCCCGGCUUGUGUUGGGGACCUGCGGCUGCCCGCAGGCCCUGAAAAACAGUGGCGGGCUCGCUGUCACACCGAGCGUAGUAGCAUACAUUCUCGCUCAGGGCGUGCUGCGGGUUCCGGCCGUUAAACGACCUUCAUAACCCAAGGUUGACCUCGGAUCAGGUAGGAAGACCCGCUGAACUUAAGC